CCUACGGGAGACAGCAGUAGGGAAUCUUCCACAAUGGGCGAAAGCCUGAUGGAGCAACGCCGCGUGGGUGAAGAAGGUCUUCGGAUCGUAAAACCCUGUUGUUAGAGAAGAAAGUGCGUGAGAGUAACUGUUCACGUUUCGACGGUAUCUAACCAGAAAGCCACGGCUAACUACGUGCCAGCAGCCGCGGUAAUACGGAGGUGGCAAGCGUUAUCCGGAUUUAUUGGGCGUAAAGGGAACGCAGGCGGUCUUUUAAGUCUGAUGUGAAAGCCUUCGGCUUAACCGGAGUAGUGCAUGGGAAACUGGGAGACGUGAGUGCAGAAGAGGAGAGUGGAACUCCAUGUGUAGCGGUGAAAUGCGUAGAUAUAUGGAAGAACACCAGUGGCGAAGGCGGCUCUCUGGUCUGUAACUGACGCUGAGGUUCGAAAGCGUGGGUAGCAAACAGGAUUAGAUACCCUAGUAGUC
rnacentral:rRNA from 1 species